ACGGGUGCGUAACACGUGAGCAAUCUGCCGAUCUCUGGGGGAUAGCCGGCCCAACGGCCGGGUAAUACCGCAUACGCUCAUCGAGGGGAGUCCCUUGGUGAGGAAACCUCCGGGGGAGAUCGAGGAGCUCGCGACCUAUCAGCUUGUUGGCGGGGUAACGGCCCACCAAGGCAUCGACGGGUAGCUGGUCUGAGAGGAUGGCCAGCCACAUUGGGACUGCGACACGGCCCAGACUCCUACGGGAGGCAGCAGUGGGGAAUAUUGCGCAAUGGACGAAAGUCUGACGCAGCGACGCCGCGUGUGGGAUGACGCCUUUCGGGGUGUAAACCACUGUUGCCCGGGACGAAACUCCCCUUUCGAGGGGAUUGACGGUACCGGGUGAGGAAGCACCGGCUAACUCUGUGCCAGCAGCCGCGG
rnacentral:rRNA from 1 species